rnacentral:rRNA from 1 species
CAAGUCGAGCGCACUGGCCCAACUGAUCUGACGUGCUUGCACUGAAGUGACGAUGGAUUACCAGUGAGCGGCGGACGGGUGAGUAACACGUGGGCAACCUGCCCUGAAGCGGGGGAUAACAUUUGGAAACAGGUGCUAAUACCGCAUAACAACGAAAACCACAUGGUUUCGUUUGAAAGAUGGUUUCGGCUAUCACUUCAGGAUGGGCCCGCGGUGCAUUAGCUAGUUGGUAGGGUAACGGCCUACCAAGGCAAUGAUGCAUAGCCGAGUUGAAAGACUGAUCGGCCACAAUGGAACUGAGACACGGUCCAUACUCCUACGGGAGGCAGCAGUAGGGAAUCUUCCACAAUGGGCGCAAGCCUGAUGGAGCGACACCGCGUGAGUGAAGAAGGGUUUCGGCUCGUAAAACUCUGUUGUUGAAGAAGAACGUGCGUGAGAGUAACUGUUCACACAGUGACGGUAUUCAACCAGAAAGUCACGGCUAACUACGUG